GAUGAAGAACGCAGUGAAAUGCGAUAAGUAGUGUGAAUUGCAGAAUUCAGUGAAUCAUCGAAUCUUUGAACGCACAUUGCGCCCCUUGGUAUCCCGAGGGGCAUGCCUGUUCGAGCGUCAUUUCACCACUCAAGCCUGGCUUGGUGUUGGGCGACGUCCCCUUUGGGGACGCGCCUCGAAACGCUCGGCGGCGUGGCACCGGCUUUAAGCGUAGCAGAAUCUUUCGCUUUGGAAGUCGGGGCCCCGUCUGCCGGAAGACCUACUCGCAAGGUUGACCUCGGAUCAGGCAGGGAUACCCGCUGAACUUAAGCAUAUCAAUAAGCGGAGGA
rnacentral:misc_RNA from 1 species